rnacentral:rRNA from 1 species
ACUGCGUUUGUGACUGCAAGGCUAGAGUACGGCAGAGGGGGGUGGAAUUCCACGUGUAGCAGUGAAAUGCGUAGAGAUGUGGAGGAACACCAAUGGCGAAGGCAGCCCCCUGGGUCGAUACUGACGCUCAUGCACGAAAGCGUGGGUAGCAAACAGGAUUAGAUACCCUGGUAGUCCACGCCCUAAACGAUGUCAACUAGGUGUUGGGUGGGUAAAACCAUUUAGUACCGGAGCUAACGCGUGAAGUUGACCGCCUGGGGAGUACGGCCGCAAGGUUAAAACUCAAAGGAAUUGACGGGGACCCGCACAAGCGGUGGAUGAUGUGGAUUAAUUCGAUGCAACGCGAAAAACCUUACCUACCCUUGACAUGUCCAGAAGCCCGAAGAGAUUUGGGUGUGCCCGAAAGGGAGCUGGAACACAGGUGCUGCAUGGCUGUCGUCAGCUCGUGUCGUGAGAUGUUGGGUUAAGUCCCGCAACGAGCGCAACCCUUGUCGUUAAUUGCCAUCAUUUAGUUGGGCACUUUAACGAGACUGCCGGUGACAAACCGGAGGAAGGUGGGGAUGACGUCAAGUCCUCGUGGCCCUUAUGGGUAGGGCUUCACACGUCACACAAUGGUCGGUACAAAGGGUUGCCAAGCCGCGAGGUGGAGCCAAUCCCAGAAAGCCGAUCGUAGUCCGGAUCGUAGGCUGCAACUCACCUGCGUGAAGUCGGAAUCGCUAGUAAUCGUGGAUCAGCAUGUCACGGUGAAUACGUUCCCGGGUCUUGUACACACCGCCCGUCACACCAUGGGAGCGGGUUCCGCCAGAAGUAGGUAGCCUAACCGCAAGGGGGGCGCUUACCACGGCGGGGUUCGUGACUGGGGUGAAGUCGUAACAAGGUAAC